CCUACGGGAGGCAGCAGUGAGGAAUAUUGGUCAAUGGGCGCGAGCCUGAACCAGCCAAGUAGCGUGAAGGAUGACUGCCCUACGGGUUGUAAACUUCUUUUAUAAAGGAAUAAAGUGAGGCACGUGUGCCGUUUUGUAUGUACUUGAUGAAAAAGGAUCGGCAAACUCCGGGCCAGCAGCCGCGGUAAUAGGGAGGAUCCGAGCGUUAGCCGGAUUUAUUGGGGUAAAAGGGAGCGGAGAUGGGUUGUUAAGUCAGGGGUAAAAGCCCGGGGCUCAACCCCGGCGAGCCGUUGAAACUGGCGGUCUUGAGUUGGCCAGAAGUACGCGGAAUGCGCGGUGUAGCGGUGAAAUGCUUAGAUAUCGCGCAGAACCCCGAUUGCGAAGGCAGCGUACCGGCUCCCCACUGACGCUGAGGCACGAAAGCGUGGGUAUCGAACAGGAUUAGAUACCCGUGUAGUC
rnacentral:rRNA from 1 species